CAGGAUGAACGCUAGCUACAGGCUUAACACAUGCAAGUCGAGGGGCGAGCAUGUUGGUUGCUUGCAACCAAUGAUGGCGACCGGCGCACGGGUGAGUAACGCGUAUCCAACCUUCCCUAUAGUAGAGGAUAGCCCGGCGAAAGUCGGAUUAAUACUCUAUGUUUUCCAAUGCAGACAUCUAAGUUGGAACAAAGGUUCACCGCUAUAGGAUGGGGGAUGCGUCUGAUUAGAUAGUCGGCGGGGUAACGGCCCACCGAGUCGACGAUCAGUAGGGGUUCUGAGAGGAAGGUCCCCCACAUUGGAACUGAGACACGGUCCAAACUCCUACGGGAGGCAGCAGUGAGGAAUAUUGGUCAAUGGGCGAGAGCCUGAACCAGCCAAGUAGCGUGCAGGAUGACGGCCCUAUGGGUUGUAAACUGCUUUUAUACAGGGAUAAAGUGACGUACGUGUACGUUUUUGUAGGUACUGUAUGAAUAAGGACCGGCUAAUUCCGUGCCAGCCGCUGC
rnacentral:rRNA from 1 species